rnacentral:rRNA from 1 species
AGAGUUUGAUCAUGGCUCAGGAUGAACGCUAGCGACAGGCUUAACACAUGCAAGUCGAGGGGCAGCGGGGGUAGCAAUACCCGCCGGCGACCGGCGCACGGGUGAGUAACGCGUAUGCAACUUACCUAUCAGAGGGGGAUAACCCGGCGAAAGUCGGACUAAUACCGCAUGAAGCAGGGGCCCCGCAUGGGGAUAUUUGCUAAAGAUUCAUCGCUGAUAGAUAGGCAUGCGUUCCAUUAGGCAGUUGGCGGGGUAACGGCCCACCAAACCGACGAUGGAUAGGGGUUCUGAGAGGAAGGUCCCCCACAUUGGUACUGAGACACGGACCAAACUCCUACGGGACGCAGCAG